CACUAACAAACGCCCGGGUAUUACGAGCCUCAGCUUAAAACCCAAAGGACUUGACGGUGUCCCAUCCAACUAGAGGAGCCUGUUCUAUAAUCGAUAACCCCCGAUACACCUAACCCCUCCUUGCCAAUCAGCCUGUAUACCUCCGUCACAAACUUACCAUAUGAAUGCCAAUAGUAGGUUAAAUGGUUAUAUCACCAACACGUCAGGUCAAGGUGCAGCUCAUGAUAGGGAAAGCAAUGGGCUACAAUUUCUAAAAUAGAACACACGGAAUGCUGCAUGAAACACAGCCGCGAAGGCGGAUUUAGUAGUAAAAAGAAAAUAAAGUGUCCUUUUUAAUAAGGCCCUGGGACGUGUACACACCGCCCGUCACCCUCUUCAACAGCACACAAUAUGUUCCUAACAACUCUUGCACCUUAGAAGAGGCAAGUCGUAACAUGGUAAGUGUACCGGAAGGUGCACUUGGAUUUACAAAGUAUAGUUUAACAAAACCUCCCGCUUACACCGAGAAUAUAUCUGUGGGAAUCAGAUUACUUUGAGCCUAAAAUUAAGCCUAACCCACCCCCAUGAAAACCACUUCCAACUAAACAACAAUAAAACAUUUUAUUAGUUUAGUAAAGGCGAUUAAAAAACUUCCUAGCGCUUUACUUCUAGUACCGCAAGGGAAAAAUGAAAUAGUUUUGAAACAGCCAUUAAGCAACCUAUAGCAGAGACUACCCCUCGUACCUUUUGCAUCAUGGUUUAGCUAGUCUUUUUCAAGCAAAGCGAAACAUCAGUUUGACCCCCCGAAACUAAGCGAGCUACUUCAAAACAGCUCAAUGGAGCCAACCCGUCUCUGUCGCAAAAGAGUGGGACGAUUUUUAAGUAGAGGUGAAAAGCCUACCGAGCUUAGAGAUAGCUGGUUAUUCAAGAAAAGAAUUUUAGUUCUACCUUAAGUUUCUGUAUUAACUCUAUAAACCACUCAAACUUAAGAGCUAUUCAAAUGAGGCACAGCUUAUUUGAAAAAGGAUACAACCUAUAAAAAAGGGUAAAAAACCCCCCCCCCCAAAAAAUAAGUGGGCCUAAAAGCAGCCACCUUUAAGAAAGCGUUAAAGCUUCUUUUUCCAAAAAUCUAAUACCAAAACACACCUUUAACCCUUUAUUCCUACUGAAUGAUUCUAUAUUCACUAUAGAAGCCCCAAUGCUAAAACUAGUAACAAGAAAUUGGCUUUCUCCAAAAUACAAGCAUAAACCAAAAUGGACUAACCAUUGGUUAUUAACGUCAAUUAAUCAAUAUAGCAACUAUAUCAAGAAAACACUAUUAGUCAUUACGUUAACCUUACACAAGUGUAUUUCCGGAAAGAUUUAAAGGGGGGGAAGGAACUCGGCAAAUAAUAACCUCGCCUGUUUACCAAAAACAUCGCCUCUUGAUAAAAUAUAAGAGGUCCAGCCUGCCCAGUGAUAUAAUUAAACGGCCGCGGUACCCUGACCGUGCAAAGGUAGCAUAAUCACUUGUUCUCUAAAUAGGGACUCGUAUCAACGGCAUCACGAGGGUUAUACUGUCUCCCCCCUCUAAUCAGUGAAACUGACCUCCCCGUGAAGAGGCGGGGAUAUUUAUACAAGACGAGAAGACCCCAUGGAGCUUUAAACCCAAUAAUAACCUCCACCAAAGUACCCUAAAAAUGAAGAGGCACUGUUUAUUGGUUUUAGGUUGGGGUGACCACGGAGAAAAACUAAACCUCCAUGACGAAUGGACCUUAAGCCUAAUCUAAGAGCCACUACUCCAAGAAUCAUUAAUUUGACAUAAUUUGAUCCGGCAACCGAUCAACGAACCAAGUUACCCUGGGGAUAACAGCGCAAUCCAUUUCAAGAGCCCCUAUCGACAAAUGGGUUUACGACCUCGAUGUUGGAUCAGGGUAUCCCAGUGGUGCAGCCGCUACUAAAGG
rnacentral:misc_RNA from 1 species